rnacentral:rRNA from 1 species
GUGAAAGCCCCGGGCUCAACCUGGGAACUGCAUUUCGAACUGGCAAACUAGAGUGUGAUAGAGGGUGGUAGAAUUUCAGGUGUAGCGGUGAAAUGCGUAGAGAUCUGAAGGAAUACCGAUGGCGAAGGCAGCCACCUGGNUCAACACUGACGCUCAUGUACGAAAGCGUGGGGAGCAAACAGGAUUAGAUACCCYGGUAGUCCACGCCGUAAACGAUGUCUA